GAUGAACGCUGGCGGCGUGCCUAAUACAUGCAAGUCGAGCGAACAGACGAGGAGCUUGCUCCUCUGACGUUAGCGGCGGACGGGUGAGUAACACGUGGAUAACCUACCUAUAAGACUGGUAUAACUUCGGGAAACCGGAGCUAAUACCGGAGAAUAUAUUGAACCGCAGGGGGCAAUAGUGAAAGACGGCUGUUCGGGCACGUAUAGAUGGAUCCGCGCCGCAUUAGCUAGUUGGUGAGGUAACGGCUUACCAAGGCAACGAUGCGUAUCCGACCUGAGAGGGUGAUCGGCCACACUGGAACUGAGACACGGUCCAGACUCCUACGGGAGGCCGCAGUAGGGAAUCUUCCGCAAUGGGCGAAAGCCUGACGGAGCAACGCCGCGUGAGUGAUGAAGGUCUUCGGAUCGUAAAACUCUGUUAUUAGGGAAGAACAAAUGUGUAAGUAACUAUGCACGUCUUGACGGUACCUAAUCAGAAAGCCACGGCUAACUACGUG
rnacentral:rRNA from 1 species